rnacentral:lncRNA from 1 species
UUCUGCCUUGGGAUGCUGUUAAUCUAUAACCUUACCCCCAACCCCGUGCUCUCUGAAACAUGUGCUGUGUCCACUCAGGGUUAAAUGGAUUAAGGGCGGAGCAAGAUGUGCUUUGUUAAACAGAUGCUUGAAGGAUGUUUAUCUGCUGACCUUCCCUCCACUAUUGUCCUAUGACCCUGCCAAAUCCCCCUCUCUGAGAAACACCCAAGAAUGAUCAAUAAAUACUAAAAAAAAAAAAAAAAAAAGUUUCUAUAUUUGACUGGUGCUUUUUUUUAACCAAAAAACCAAUAAUUUCAGAUGUUCAAAGAAAUACAUUUUACACUGAGGCCCAAUACACAAAAUAAAUACAUAUACACAUGCAUAUAUAAUACACAUAAACAUAUACAGAUA